rnacentral:rRNA from 1 species
AGUAGAACGCUGAAGCUUGGUGCUUGCACCGAGCGGAUGAGUUGCGAACGGGUGAGUAACGCGUAGGUAACCUGCCUCUUAGCGGGGGAUAACUAUUGGAAACGAUAGCUAAUACCGCAUAAAAGUCGACAUUGCAUGAUGUUGACUUGAAAGGUGCAACUGCAUCACUAAGAGAUGGACCUGCGUUGUAUUAGCUAGUUGGUGAGGUAACGGCUCACCAAGGCGACGAUACAUAGCCGACCUGAGAGGGUGAUCGGCCACACUGGGACUGAGACACGGCCCAGACUCCUACGGGAGGCAGCAGUAGGGAAUCUUCGGCAAUGGACGGAAGUCUGACCGAGCAACGCCGCGUGAGUGAAGAAGGUUUUCGGAUCGUAAAGCUCUGUUGUAAGAGAAGAACGAGUGUGAGAGUGGAAAGUUCACACUGUGACGGUAACUUACCAGAAAGGGACGGCUAACUACGUGCCAGCAGCCGCGGUAAUACGUAGGUCCCGAGCGUUAUCCGGAUUUAUUGGGCGUAAAGCGAGCGCAGGCGGUUAGAUAAGUCUGAAGUUAAAGGCUGUGGCUUAACCAUAGUACGCUUUGGAAACUGUUUAACUUGAGUGCA